UGAGGGGCUGUGAGGGCAUUGAGGGUUUCUCUUGGUGUCUUCUUGGCAAACGGCCGGCAUCAGAGGAACAAUAGUUAAUCACCGGCCAUUAACAGAAAUGCAUCUAAACAGUUGGAUGAAACAGACUAAGACUGACUAAGAGAGGCAGAACUGACAUUAGACCACAGGGGAAGGUGUGAUGCUCUCAGGAAUGAACAGAAAUGGCAAAUUGGCAAGAAAGCUCCAAGGACACCAGGUAGGCAUGAUCUAGAUAAGAUCCUUCACCUCAUCUAAUUAUUCUUCCAGUGACACCAUUGUUCUUUUACUUACUACACAGGAGUUCCUCUAAGCUUACAUCAGUUUAGAUUAGUUCUCUGCUAUCCUUUAAAUACUCAGAGGAAAGCAUCUGCUACUAUCCCCUUUGGGCAGAUGUAAUAUUCAGAAGUAAUUACUAACAGAGAAGGAAAAUAUACAAGAGGAGACUCAAAGGUGGUGAAAAGAUUCUGAAUUUUCUUUAUGCAGUUAAGAAUUUAAUUAAAAAGGUGUGUAACAAAGCUAUAUCCUCUGUACAACUGAGAUCUGCCCACUGAAAUGUUGUAUUGACUCUUGACCAGCAAAAGGUUUUCUGUAAUUCCCUGAGUAGGUUUUUCAUACCAUACUAUCUGGACAGAUUUUUUUUUUUUAAUAGAGUUUGUUUGCCUUUGUGUACAAAUCUGCUUGCCUUUAUUUUUAUAAAAAGUCCCAGGAAAACAGAGAUGAAAAAUGGUGAUUGGGACAAAAUUGAUACAGGCUGUACAAUCAACAUAAGUGAGACUAACAAUCCUCAGUGUCUAAAAACCUCCUUGAACAUACCAGUCAUUUACACUAGGGUUCACACUAUUAACUCAUAGCAAUCCCAAACAAUUUGACAAAAACGUCUUUGUUAAAAAUGCUUUGCUAUUGGAAGGAAAUCUGUCUAAUCUCUUGUGUUUUUAGCUGUAUAUUCCACUUUAGCUAUUAUUUAAUUAUAUUCAUGCUGGGUACCAUAUCUGCAUCAAUAUGAAAAAAACCAAAACCACAAGAAACCAGCUUUUGUUCCAAACACUGUGUGUCUCACCCAGAUUCCUCCUAAAGUACAAUAGAUUUAAUCCUUACUUUGUAUUUAAUUAUAUAUUUGCACUUAACAGUGAAUAUUUGAGGCUUUUCUAUUACCUGGUCGCACAAGAAAUGGCUGAAUAUAAAUAGAUGAAUUUUCAUCCAUUUAUAGUUGCAAUACUGCCACUCACAGAACAAAGACAAAUAGCUGGCAUAGAAGAAUAAAUCUCUGAAUGUUAUUUUGGGUAGUGCUUUAUUCAUCAAACAGGCAGAGAAAUGUUCUUGCCUAUUGUGAAGCAUGGAUAUCAUUUUUGGAGGCAAAAGACAAGCCACUCAGCAAAGGGAGAUGGCAGCAGCUGAGAGAACGUAAAUGACAAAGUUCAGUGUUAAAACAAUUCCUUGCAGUCAUUCCUGAUGGAGAGAACUAAUAGUGGAAAUCGAGGUGUUCAAAUCUCAUUCUGUAACAAGCAGAGGGAGGAAGCGAGUUAGUGUAUGGAGAAUUUAGAAAAGGCAGCUUUGUGUUGAGUUCUGGGAGGAUCGAAGCUGCUUAUGUUUUUGUUCACAUGGAGGGGUCUUUUGUCCGAGGCACGAACCCACACUUAAUUCUGAGACUGCAGUUCCUUUGCCUGUCGGUUUGCUUGUGCUUGGUGUUUGAGACUCAGAAAACACUUGGACUCCUCCAUUGUUUGUGGUGAGGUAAGAGGAACAUAUUAGGAAGUUGCUUUUCUUCCUUUUCCGGAGAUGCUGGGAAUCACCCACAUCUCUCUUGGUGGCUUUGUUAUUUUACCAUCUGCAUGAUUUUGAUUUUUAAAGGUUAUGUGUAUUUUGAAAUCUUUCCCUGCGCUGGAUGUUUGACUUCAAUAUUUGUACAGUAGAUCUUCUGGAGCUCUGCAGCUAGAAAAUCACGCUAGUUUUUUAGUACACAGAAAAUGUAGCUCUUGACAUUCUGGCAGAUUUGCCAGACCUUUGCACACAGCCAGGAAUUAGUACUACGUGUAUAUAUAAUAUUGAAUGACAGCUCUUGGUUUUCCAGGAGACUGGUCAUGGGCACAGAACUCACCCCUCUUCUGGAUACUUUUAAUACUUGUGUUUCAUUGCAGCUUUGUAACAGCAGAAAGACUAUUUGCUUCAUGCACAGCCCCACUUUGGAGGCCACUGCUUGGGAGCAUGUGUGGCUUUUGUCUUGUGUCACUCCUAUCCCGAGUCUUGCCAUGUGCCUUGGGAGCUGGCAAGGACCCACUCACAGGCACAGUUUGCAACCCAGUGUCACUUUCUAAAGGUAUGAGUCAACAUUUUGAGUCUGCUCUGUGACCCAGUGUCUGCAGAGCUAAUUGGAUUUCAACUGAGUGGAUUUGUUCCAGGGAAUAGUUUAUUUGUGAAAAUAAUUUCUUUUGCUCGGGAGGAAGGGUAGGGGGAGGGAGGGAUCCAGCCAUCUGAGCAUUCAAUUGAAUCUAGCAAAUAAUGUUCUCUUUUUCUUCCCCUUCUCCCAUGGAACAGGGAAAAAAAAUCAGAAACAAUCACUAAAUCAGGAAAUAUUGUUAUGCUUGCCCAGCAGUAUUGGUCUGGCCCACAGAGGUAUGGCACUGUUAGCCUGUUAGCCAAGUGCUGGACUGACCCGGGGAGAGCAAUGCUGGUAAUGCACUGCAUCCAUAUCCCCACCAUCACAUUAGAGCCAUUGAAUACAAAGUAGCACAAUUUGAGAACGGAAAAGAAAUGAACUGCAUAAAGUCUUUUGCCAAAUCAGAUAAGGGGACAUAUCUGAGAAGGGUACUAUGCUCAGCUUAUUUGGCUAAUGGUCACAUUACUGUUUUAAAUACAUUUCUUCCUUCAAAGUAGAAUCCUGGGGCUCAGAGAAGAGAGCUGUAGUGCCUCCAGUUAAUUUUCCAGGUGAAUCUGGGUCAUUCCCAGUGCAGUGCCUCAGUGCAACGCCCUCAAAUGGCCCAUUUGGUCCUCAGUGAGGAAAGCUCUUUUUUGCCAACUAGGAAAGAAAUAACAUCAAAACCAGGUUUUGUAUGGUCAUUGUUGAGGAGCAAAUCAAAUUUUUUUUUUUUUAAGUGAGGAAUUGCCCAGAGAUGAGCCGGGAGUGGCUCCUUCUUUCGUGCUCCUGCGUCCACAUCCACUCCUGGCUGCAGAAUCUACUUUGUACACAGAGCCCGGGGAUGUAGGUCAGGAACGCUUGUGCCUUCCAUGGGUGAUCAGUUCUGUACUUAUUUCUCUUGUCAGUCCAUUCCCCACUGUUCCUAGUCACCCUUCACAGAGCCUGGGCAGAUAACCUUUGAGUAAUAAUCUGAAAUUCAAAUACAAAUAAUGGACUACUGAACUGCCCUAAUAUUUGAGAAAGGUUUUAAACUAAAAUAGGUUCUUCUGUGUGCCGUGAUUGGCCUGGCAGCUAUGUGUGCACGCUAAGUGUACUGAGAAAGGCAAUAUUAACAGAAUGAAAAGGUCAGAGUUGUAUAAAAAUCCUUUGAAAAGUAAAUAGGCUUGCCAAACUGAAUUCCCCACAGGUAGACAGAGGUUAAGAACUGAGAACAUUUGGGCCUUUGGCAGGUCAAGUUGUGCAUCUGUAAAUGCCCUUCAGAAAUACAAAAACCAGACAAGUGUAGACAAGUACAGGGAUUGUGACUGGUCAGAUUUAGCUCUGGUUGUACCUCCAGGCAAGCAGGCCAGGGCUCAACAGCUCCUGAGGGAUGUAUCGGGGGGCACCGUGCAGGGUGGGGCACAGCACCCCUGUGUCAUGUCUAGGCACCCCAGGGACAAGGGAGGCAGAUGCACAUGGUAGUCACUGCCCACGUGCCCUGAGGUGAGGUGCUAACCAGUAUUAGCAGGUGAAAAAACACGUUUAUUGUGGCUGUGUUGGCAGGUGGACCCGAGUGUUGCUGCAGUCCUGGUUGGGCAGUUUGCAGCUGGAUAUUUGGGCAGAGGUCUCGGUGCACUCCCUGCCUCCUUGAAGAGCACAAGGGGUAGUAUGGGAAGGCACACAACAGGAGGAGAUACACAGCCUUAGUUUCUGUUGAAAUUUGAGUUUGUACUGUUAAGCACCUUUGUUUCCAACCACAAGAUUGGCUGCAAAAUGGUGGAGUCUACAUAAUCCCUUUCCUAACUCUCAGAGAGAUUUUAUGAGGUUUAAUUCAUUUCUCAAUCCUCACGGGAAAGGGGUAAAAAAGAGAGGAGUAUUUGUGUCAUCACUGACUGUUAGUGUCACAUUGUUAAUUAAAAGCAAACAACUCAAAUGCCAGGUCUUGGACAAAAUUAAGUUUAAACAUUUUUUCUAUAGUUUACAAGAGGAAAUAAUUCCUUUAGGCAUGCCUACUGAUAUUUGUGCCUUUUCACCAUAUCUCACAUUGCUUUAAAGGCUUCUGUUCACCUCCUGCUUUUCAGGACAUCAUUCUCCUGUUAAGGACGUAUGUCAGUUCUGACACAGAAAUGUGGCUGAAACUUAUGGGGCAGUUCAAGACCCUCUAUCCCUUAAACCUUUCAAGAGAUUACUGGCAGGACAGUUAAAUUGUUCUGACCUGAAGAGAGCCCACUGCCAAGCAGCUGGGCUGCACUCUCUGGCUGUGCAGGAGCUCCUGUGGGGACACGAGUGGCAGCGUGACAGCCUGGCACCAUGAUGCCAUUUGCAUCAUCAGGUUACUUGCAAGUGUAAGACAGUGAAAAGGGAAAAUAAAGAAAAGUAAUAGUAAUGGCUGUGAAAAUGGAACUUUUAUUAUCUGUUCACUGUAUACAAAACACCAUUCUGCAUAGUGAUAACUGAUUUGUUGUACAGUUGACAGUGCACACCAACAAACAAGUGUUCAGAGGUAUCCACUAAACGGGAAGGGCAGUGGUGGCAGUGGCCAGCCAGUGCUGUGCCCACUGUAUGCUGUAGGAUGAAGUACCUCACAAGCACGUGAUAUGCCAGUAAUAGAAAUGGGCUAACAAGCAUCUACCCAGGAGCCAAAUUAGGAAUGAGGAUGGAGAGAGCAAAAUUAAUGUAUCUGACAAACAAUUUCCAGAAUGAUUAAGUUUUACAGAGACGGCUGAGAGGACCCAUAUUUUUUUAAACACUUCAAAUUUUAAAACUAUUAGAAUUUAAUGAUAAAUAACAGAAUCUCACAAAUCUUUUGGGGCAAAAUGCGCCAUAUUUAUUUACAUAUGAAAUGUGUUUAAUACAGUCAUAAUGGACAUAGUGUAUAGUAACAUCUGACAGCAGCAAGACUUUUAAGGAACCCAACAAUUACUACUGUUUAUCAUGCAGCUACCUAUAUAUACACAAUUAGUUUUAAAAAAAAGUACAAAAUUUUUUUUUUGUAGGGUUACAUACAAGGUAUAAAAUGCAAAAACAAACUAAAAAUAUACUCUCACAGAGAACUCUAUCUGAAAGGGACAGUAUGGUACCUUUUUGUACUUGUGCAAGCAAAACUAGUGGUGCUGGACAGGAGUUUGCAAUGUCUGGCCGAGCUCUGCAGGGCCUGUGCUAAAGCUGCAAGCCCCAGUCCUCCUGGCUUGGGGCUCCUUCCCAGUUGUGGCUGUGUGUGACACUGAGCACCAGAACUUUUGGCAUGAUCAUGUGGAGCUGGCAAAUCCCAACCCCUGCAGCAAGGGUCAACUAUUUCCUUUCAAUAACCAGCAAGGAAGAUACAUAAUGCUGUGUACUCACUUCUAUAUGUUUAAUAAAUUACAUUACAAAAAAAAAAUCAUCAUUAUAAACCUAUUCCUCUAAUUACAUCUUAUUUCUUAAAUCCAGAGCAGCCCAGCCCAUUUGUAACAAUUUGAGCUUUGAUCACAAGCACCUGGUGACCUAAAAAUGUCACUUCAUGAUACUCAGAGUUGUGCAUUUAUACUCUUCAAAAGUACUUUACCAUUCCAGGGGGUCUGCACCUGUUCUGGUGUUGCCACCUAAAAACCAGCACUUUAUUUUACACAUGCAGUGGUACUGUUGUCUUUUGUUAUAAUAUAUUUUGUAAGAAAAAGUUUAAAAGCUUCCUUAGACAUCUGGAGGUCCAAGUUCUUUAGAAUUUAAAAUCUCCCCUUAGCUUGCUUCCUCUCUCCUCUCCCCUCCUAGCACCUCCCUCCUGAUGCUAAUCUUCCUUUAGCUAAACUUUCUUUCAGAAGCAUUCAAAAACCAGUUUAAGAGAACCUAAGGAACUGCCCUGGCAUUCAGAACUCUGUUUUAAAGAAACUUACUACAAAAGAACAGAAAAUAACCAAAAAAACCCCCAAUUUUUCCACUAGAUACUGAUACAAACACAUAACCAAAGAGUAUAAAAAUUAUUAGUUUAAAUAUAUACAGACAUUUUUCAACUCAAAUACUGCUUCAAUGCUUCUGAGGGUAUAGACAAUGAGGUGAAGGGGACACUUUUAUGCAGAAUAUAUUGCAACAGCCUGAACAGUACUGUUAACAUUAUUAUACCUUGAACUUUCUGUAGCAAAAAUGUCAUUAGUAUUCCAAUGUGGAGUGAGAUUUCAUCAUCCCAAACAGUCUGGUCACUUGUCAGCUGAACUCAUUCUUUUGGACUUGAUGAAGGCCAUGCCAUGUGUUCUCAUGUGAGUGUUUAAGGCUGCUUCAGUUUCAAAAGUCUUUGCGCACACUUUGCAUCUUCUGUCUGAUGCCACACUGUUGGGAGAGUCAUCCUCAUGGUUGGGUUUGUUUUCUUGCUGAUUAUCCUCCCCAGACCCAUUCUGUUUUGAUACUGGCUGAGGCUCCUUCAGCUUAUGUACAAUGAAGAGGUGUCUGGAAAGGGACACAUGAGAUGUGUAGCAGAGUCCACAUUCCCUGCAUUGAUACGAAGAGCCGUCAGAUUUAUGCUGAGGAAUAUGUUCAUGAAACUGGAGAAGAUUUUCUGUUGUAAAGCCACAAACUGCACACUUGUGAACUUUAAAAACAUUUAUCUUCAGCUUCUUUAAUGGCUGAGUGAUUGCACCUCGUGGAGGUCUGAACUCCAUUACAGGUUCUUCCAAUUUACGCUUUGGACUAGGAACCUAACAAAGAGACAGAAAUGGUGUAAGCAUAAAUAUGCAGUUCUUUUCAUAACUAUUUGUGACUUGCAAAUGUCAGAACCUUUCCCUUGGCAAAUUCUAAAACAACUCUGAUAAACCAUCCUUUUGGGGCUCUACUUCACAGAAGAUGAGACAUUUAUGGCAUUGAAGUACCUGUAUUUACUUAAAGAUCCUGAAUAUAUACCCAAAAAAAUUAAUUCUCAGUGAUUGAAUGAGUCUUCUAAGUGCUUACCUUUGUGUCUUCUUUUACUUCCCUUUCUUCCAUAUUGGUAGAUUCAGUCAUUUCUUUCACAUCAGGGUCUUUAAUGCCAUGCAUCAGCUGAAUAUGUUUUUCCAACAUCAACCUCUUGGUAAAAGUACGUCUCGAAUCUGGGCAGUGCCUGCAGAUAAGAACACACACACACACAAACAUUCAAGUGUCAUGCUUAACAAGUGCCUUUUGUAGACUGGAAGAGUGGUUGUGUAUUUGAGAGUCUCCUGAAAACCAGGUUCCCCAAAGUGGAACUGUGAACUCUCAGCUCAGCCAAUUUCGGACUGUAGACUUUGACACACUGCCCUCUCAGGAGCCUGACAUGUUUCUGCAGGCAGGAUAGGUAAUUGAUUUGGCCUGUCCUGGGCAUCUGAAAGAAUGGGACACUGGCUUUUCCACAGUUAAGGAAAGAUGUGCAACUAACAAUGGUCUUUGUAUUCCAUUCCUAAAUAAAUAAAACCAGAACUUACGAGCACGUAUAAACCUUCCUAAUGCCUUUGUGCUUGAUACGAUUGUGCCGACAUAAACUGUGGGACGAACUGAAAGAUUUGUCACAUUGCCGACAAGGAUGUUUCUUCAUUUGCUUUAAAAAAGAAGAAGAGAAAAACUUUCAUUAAAAAAGCUGAGUAAAAGUGGUGCAUGUGUUGAACCUUCUGAUAAACAGGAAAGAAACAUCACUUACCCAUGUUUGGUACUGUACUUCACAUACACCCCCUCUUCAACAACACUGUACAAGUCAGAGCUGGACCCCCUCAUGGGGGUCAGUGUGGCCCCCAUGAGCUGCACACACACACACACACACACAUACACACACCCCUGUCUCCAGCUGUAAACUGGUGUCAUGGACAGUGGAUGAAGAGAACUUCUUACACCAAAGAAACACAGAAGAUCAGAGGACUAUUUCUGGAUCAGUAAAGGCAGCAGGAUGCUUUCCCUUCCUAUCACCAAGCCAUGUCCUCAGCUGCUGACUAGGAGCUCCUCAGCCACAUACAGAGAGUGGUGAAGAGCACAGAAGAAGGACCAAACUUGAAUCUCACAGACAUUGACACACUACCAGGGUUCAGGACGGUCAUGACAAAAUGAGCGGCAUGAUCUGAUGCCAACUUGACGGCCAUCUGUUUGGGGAAUUCUGAGGGGCUGAUGUUGCAGCUGGUCAAGUGGAAGGAGAAAGUAAAGGAAGAAAUUGAGAAGGGCUGGAGCAGUCACACACCGUAGCUGUGUGGCACUGAGCAGAAGCAUCAAGCCCGUGGUCAGAAAAGCAGGAGGAGGAUGAUGCUCAGCAGGACUUGGGGGCACUGUGUGGGGUAGCCAGCUGUGACCCCACACUUGUUCUAAAUUCCUUGGGGAGACUCAAGAUAGAGACCCAAACAGGAUUUUGGAUGCACUGGUUUCUACAAUGGCAGCCAAACAAAAAAGAACUGAAAAAUUAGUUCUGUAAUUAAGUGCAGCAUGAUGUGUUGUACAGCAUCUCAUCUUGACAGAAGAGGAUGGUCAGUGACUAAGCUGGAGUUGGUAAUUCCUACUUAGAAAACGUCUGCCCUUUCACAGAAACACACCUGCACACAAGUCCAAGGAGCUCAGCAGAUGGCUGCCUGGUGGAAGGUAGACACACAUGAUCCAGUUUCACACAGGCUUGUUAGAACCCUCCUUUGUCUGGGCUGGUAACUUUUUUUUUGGCAGCACUUUUAAGAUCAGGCAGAGAAUCACACCAAGGUGGCUACAAAAUUUCCUACCCUACAGCUGACUCCCUUCACCCAGGAGCCUCAUGAGAGGAUCAGAACAUGUGAAUCUGUCUGCAUAGACAGUUCCCAGUAAGGGCUGGAACCUUAAGGAUCUGUGCAAAGGGGAUAUACAUAGCAAUACCUCUCCUAUGAAUACCUCUGCCUAAUCCAGCCUGGGAUCAGCUACAGGUUACAGCUCUUUCACUCUGGUCCUGCAAAAGCAGAAGUCAGAAGUUUGAAACUAGUAUUUUCAUAUACCUUGCAUGACAAUGGAUUUUGUGAAUAACACAUUCAUCACUUAAUUACAGUUUUAACAAUCAUUCUGAAAGGAUCAUUUUAGAGCAUUUAACCCACACCUAUCAUUCUUAAGAAAAUAAGACUAUAAAUUAGUUCCUCUAUUUAUUAGAUCCAUAUCACAUACUUGGUUAUCUUAUGCUCAUUCCUAUUCUCUCUAUAGUAAAAGUUUAGUUUUUCAACAUAGUCUUUUUGACAGCUAACAAUUACAAAAAAUUUUGACACGUUGGGAAGGAAUGUAGCACCUGGUCUCUAUCCCCCAUUUCUGAAAGACAUGGAAUUGUAUUUCUGUUCAUUUUAGUAUCUGUGUGCCUCAUGUGUUAUUCAAGGAACUGCUUGAAUGGGGAUAAUAACCAGCACCUGAAUGGAAGCAAUCAAAGAGGUCUUCAGGCCAGGAUUUGAGUGCAACAAUUAUCUAGUAUUUCACAAUAAGGGCUAUUUUUGAGGUAACAUUGCACAUAAAUAUCAGAGAGAGGAAGACACAGAUUUAAAGCUAAUAUUUAAAAAGCAUUAUUGAUAUGUGACUAACCUUCUUUUACAUGCCUUUGGCUACUCUGCUGUGGAUGGAAGCAGACUGAAUAUCACUCUCUAGUUCACUGUGAAGUGACAGUUUCAUUGGGAGGUUGUGCUGCUUUGUUUUUAAGAAUCGCAUAAAUGUACAAUGCAUUUGAUCUUAAUGCAUUUCUGAUUGCCAGUAAAAGCUCUGCUGAGUUAAUAUCUGGGCAGCAGGAAGCUGAAGGAAUGGGGUGGGAGUUACUGGAGGCAAUGAUGCUGGGGUGCUAUUUGCUUGAAGUUGUCCUAAGAAAAUUGAAGAUGACACUCAAUAGUCCAGUAUUUUCAGCUUUUCCAUAAAACGUUUAUAAACAGAAUAAAAUAAUUUGCAGAACAGAUUUAGAGAUAAUAACUGUAAUAGAAACCUCUGGAAAUGUGCAAUCAUUUAUUACAGCGCAUUAGGAUCCCGAUAACUACGGAUUUUCACGUAGAGUGGUUCUCCUCCACUUAGACAAAAUCAGCCUAUUAUCCCUGCCAGUCCUGCUCUUUUGCUGCAGUGCAGCACAGUACAUCAGUUUAGCUCCCUGGUUCCCAGCUGAGGAAGGAGUCAGAGCACUGCCACCGGCACACAGCAAAGGUGAAGACUGGCUUGGCCGUGGCUGCCACAUGUCAGCAAGGGGCUGGAGCCUGCCACAGCUAGGCAGGGUCACUGUUGCCUUCCUGCCUGCCUGUCUUUUUAAUUUCCUUUAACUGAAGUGCUGCUGAACACAGGAAGAACAUCAAACAGUCUCUCUGCUGACAUGAGGAUGCAACAUUCCCACAUUUCACUUUCAAUCCAUUUUAAGUAAGAUAGCUCAAAUUCAGGUGCUUUAAAUAUAAAAUUCAACUUGUUAACUCGGCUGAACUCUUAAUUGUCAGAUUAGAGCAACAGCUCAACUGUGGAAUGUGUCUGCUUUUAAAUGAAACACCAGUUGGCACUCACUGGAUGAGUAAAACAUGACUGAGUCUCCACUCCCUGAGGCUAACAGGCACUGAGCUUCAGAACAGAACAGAAUCAAAUUGUUUGAGCUGGAAAAGAUCUUUAAGACUGGGUCCAACUGUUACUCCAGCACUGCCACAUUCACCACACCACCAUAAAGAGAGGGAACUGAGAAGGCACAAAGAAGAAAUCAGAACCUGGAACAGAUUAGAUGGCUUGGAUGAAAUACAGCAAUAUCUCUCACUCUUUCCAUCUUGAAAAAAAUUUGGUACUGAAUGAACAAGCCUACAAAUGAUUUUCUCAAUAGAAUGAUGUGGAAACUGAAAUAAACUAAGCAGACAAAGCAAAAAAGAUGGAACAGAUAUAAGAACAAUGAAUAAUAAUAAUGGGACUUAAAGGAAUUCUUUUCAAAAAGAAAUUUAGAAAAGUAUUUAGAAACAAAUACUUCACCUUUCAGGUUUAAUUCACCUUUUUGUACUGAAUAUAUUCCUUUACCUUUCCAUGUUCUUUCCUCAUGUGGGAGAUGUAAACAUCUCUCUGAGUGAAGAGCCUGUCACACUCCCAACAUGUCCAGCCAGGACUAGUGACUUUUUUAAGUUCUGCUUUCUUUAUGGGAGAAGGAGAUUUCUUCUCCAACUUUUCUGUUCCGUUGAGAGAUUUUGUGUCCUCCUUGUUGUGACUGGCUGAGUUUUGAGUUGUGGGUUUAGUACUGAGAGGCAGAUUUAUCCCCAGGUUUGGUGGCCCCUCAACACUUUUCAAAGUUCCAUGCAUAGACUAUAAUAAAAAAGAGAGAAAAAGGUACGAAACUGACAUAGACAUACACAGCUGUACUUAACCAAAAGUCUUCAGUUACUUCUUUGGCAUACUAUUAUCAUCAGAUCACAUUUGUAAAGAAACAGGAUUAAGUAAAGGCAAGACCUAGCAUGCCCGAACAAUAACUGACACCGUAUGUAGGUAUUUUCACACAAAAAAAUAAGAGACUUACUUUGGAGGUUAAGUUUAAGUUGUGGUUUAGCAGGGAGGAAAAAAGGGGUCAAGAAGUACUUUAUGUUAAGUUUAAUUUCUUGCUUUACUUACCCGACAUGUUAGUUGAGCAUCCUCAUUUCAGACUAUGAGACUGGAGUUUUCCAAGAAGGAGAAGUGUUUUAAUUGACCAAAUGUUGACUUGGCAUAUUGGUAAAUAAGAUAAGCCAACUCUGGAAACAUCACACGGCUAUGUAAUUUAUUAACAUUUUAUGUUGAGGCUGAGGUUAAGGCCAGCCUUACUCUCUAGCCAGGUUAUGAGCACACUCAUUUAGGGCUACCUUGCUAGGUAAUGUGGGGCAAGGUGUGUGGGGCAUACAGGGCCCCAGAGCAAGUCAGGGGGGUCUGAGCAGCUGUUCUCCAGCCCCUGGAGCUCCUGGGUGGGAAGCUUUCCUCGGGGACUUAUGUCUGCACUUUAAGUCGAUGGUCAGUAAGAAGGGAAGAACUCAUCCUUCCCCCAGUCCCCAUUUCCAAACCAGUGUAGAGCACUGGUGUGACACCUGAGCCUUCCAACACUGGUUCAGAAAGGGCUUGGGGGCUUCAGCUGUGUGUCUGAGUUCCAUGCAUGGACGUGGACACUGCAACAAUGAGGAGGGUUGUGGGCCAGCAGGGAGACUGCAGCACAGAGCUAAUCCACUGCUGAACAGGGACCCACAAUUGAGGUCUCAUGUCUGGAAGGCUUGUCCUUUACCAGGACGGUGUUCUGAUCCUGUCACCUACUGACCCUUUCUAUAACCCUCUUGGAGGAUACAUUUAAUCAGCCCAAACGGAAUUACUUUUCCUUCAGCGUGCAGUGCUUAAAAGACCUGCUAGUGCAUUCAGAGAAAUGUCACCUUUGCCCAAUGAACUACCAGCUGAAAAGUCCUGAAAGCACUACACAAACCCCACAUCACCAGCAGGCUGACAAACUGGUGGCUGUCAGAGGUGUCCUGCAAGGUGUCCUACAGGACAGAAUGCAAUUUCACAGCUCAUUCAAAUGCAGGCAAGUGCAGUAGGAGAUGAAUUUUGCUUACUUUGGUUCGCCUAUCUUGAUACCCGGGUGUUGCGUGUAGGCAUGGGAGUGUGUGCUGGGAGCAGACUUAAAUGCCAUGGGACAGAUGGGACACUUGUAAAAGACUUCACAGUGACAACCUUGAAUAUGAGACUUGAGUGCCGCCACGUCAGAGUACACAACAUUGCAGUGCACGCAGCUGCAGAGAGAGCAGAGGAGAGUCAGUGCAGCCUGCCCUGAGCAGUGCUGGACAUAAUCAACAUGGAUUGUCAAGCAAAGGGAAGAGAGAAACACGCAUGGAUAACAACUGGAUAAAACUAUAUUUCUCUGUCAACUUAAACAAGCCCGUAAGAAUCAACAUAACCAGUGAUUUGUGGAUCACAAAGUAAGGGGAAAGAAAUUUCACACGUUGUUAUUUGAAAAUCUAAGAGAUAUAAAGUCAGAACAUAUUUUGAUGUUAUUACAAUAAAACAGAUAGAAGGGUGGACAGACAAAUGCUCUAUUGAUUGCAGAAAAAAUACUUAAAUCCUCUGCAAAUUUGGAAAGAGAUUUUCCAGAAUGCAUUUUUAUCACAUGCAGGGCAUUGCUUAAAGUACACCACAGCAAUUUAGAAACUACCACCAAAUGGAAAACCAGUAAGGAAAAUAUUUUCACCAUUUCCCUUGUUUAGAUUUAAUGAAGAUACACUGGUAAUGAUUUUCUGUACGUGUAAUCAAAUCAGCACUUGGAUUGAAACUCAGGAAAACUAAACCAAAUCCCUACUAUCAGAUCAAUAUACAAUAUUGGAAUUCAGAAAAUAUUUUUCAAAAACAUACUUCUGCUGUGUCGAAAAUUUGUGACCUUUCUGCAUCUAUUCUAAAAUGAAACGAUUAAAAAAUUGAAUUAAUAUUAGAACAUAAGAAUUUUUAUACACAAUGAUCCCCUUUAAUGCCCUACAUCUCCAGUAGCAAAUGCUCCCAAGUCAUCCCAAGAACAUAGUGCAAUAAGCAAUUACCUGUCAAAUGAGACAAUUUCUUAUUGAUCAGUAUUUUGCAGUAAGACUUUUAUAAACUCUUCAAAUGUAGAAGGACUCCACCCUUACAUAAUUUUAAUUUUAGCAUCCAUCAUGGCAGUAUGAUUGUUUUCAUAUAAAUGUCAAUUUAAUUUUUCAAUAGUUUUACUGCCCUGAUGAUAGCAAUAAAGCAGGAAAUAGAGUUCUACAUUGAAUUCAAGGAUCCCAUUUUACUUUUAAAAUUUAUCACCCUUGAAUUUUAUGAAAUGUCAUCCAUUCUUUUUUUGGGCAUUUAAUUUACACUCUUAAUAAUAUUCAUUGAGUUUAUACCCAUCUAGUCUCCACUUAGCAAUGCAUUCUCUAAAGCAGAUUAUUCUGCUCUUUUUUGGCCAUGUUAAGAGCUUCUGUGCUCAUAGAGAGCUGAGCACUUCUUCACAGCCGUGCACAGCGUGAUGCACUCAGUAACACGUCUACUCCUGAGUGUCCCUCUGGAGAGGGAGGUGGUGUUUUCACCUCCCGUGCCAUGCUUGACAUUAUUCUCUAGUGGUGCCACAUAACAACUGACCCCCAGCAUCCACCAUUGUAUAUCAGACAGCUCCUAAGGACCAAGCUUUCCUCUUGGGGACUAUUCUUACAGCUGCUUGCUUUCACCUUGGCAGGAUGCAGUGAAACUUCAGGCUGAAGUUUUCAGCUGAUUCAGUGCAGACAACUAGCCUAAAUCACUGGAGUCAAAGGGAAAUUCUUGGCAGAGGCCCUGUGGAAAGGCAGCACAGGGUAUGCUGCUUCUCAGGCAAAAGCACCACAGUUCUAAGGAGUGGCUGAGGAGGCUAAGGAGGGAGACAGUAACAUUCCCAGAGACUGCUUUUGCUUGCCUGGGUGACUUUGGUUUAGUCUCACCAGAUCAAGAAAUUGUUGACUCAAUGUGGCAUGAGAUGUUCAUGAGACAUCUUGACAAGUUUAGUGGCUUAAGAUUCCCAGUGAAGGGGAUUCUGCUGGUGUUACUGGGGCAGACCAGGCGUCUUUAGAGGUGAUUCCCUGUACAAACCCAAGGGGCAUAAUUAGAGGGAAGAGAGUGGAGUGCAGGAAGCAGAUGAAGGACAUGCAGGACAAGACAGACUACUGCUUGAGAGAAAAGGGUAAAAGAAAAGAACCCAAAGAAAUGAAAGAGCUUGGAGUUAUGUCAGGCAGUGAACUCAAGCUGAAAGCAGAGGCUUGAUGCAGUAAAAAUGCUUUCUUCCCGUAGGGGAUGGUUGCACAGCCUUCCUGGAAAAUGAACUGUGGCACCUUAAGGAUGGAAGGAGCUACCUGCUGUAAGAUUUUUCCAGGCAGACAGGGUGGAUAUGUUUUUGGAGUGCUAAGCAAAGCUCGAGGUACAGGUGGCUCUUCUGAUUGCUUCCUGUGCUGCCUGCCAUUCAAGUGCAAGGAAAAUGCUAACAGAAAGCAUUUUUUCAAGUCUUUCAAAACGAAACAUUUCUAUGAAAUGCCUCUGCUCCCCAUUUUCUCAGUUAGUUGCCAUUACAGGGAAAUAUAAAAGUCAAAGGGAAACUGAAGAGUAACAAAGGAGAGCCAAAAGACAAGGUUGUUUGAGAAAGGCAAUUUCCAAGUGAUGUAAAGUGAUAAAGUCAAGGAAUCUUAACUUGCCACAGAAAAGAGAACAACCAGACAGGUGCAGUAUGUUCAUCAACAUCUCAACCAUACAUUCUCGAAGUACUGACAAUGACUGUUCCACCAAAAAGAACAAUCUAAAAUUCAAUGCUUUGGAAAAACUCAAGAAGGUUUUUGAAAACCUGAAAUUAAUAUAAGGCAUCUGAAUUCUCCUGAAUCUGUGUUACUCUAGCUAAUAUUCUGAUUUAAUAAUACACAAAAGUGGAUGCCCAAAACAAAGCAGAAUCCUAAUGUAUUUAUUCCAGAAUCUCAGUACUAAUAGUACUGUUGCCAUGACAAUCUUAAACCCAUGAAGCUGGUAUUGUUCAAACAGUGCUUAUGAAAAACCACAUUAAAACCCAUAAAUUAUACAUAAAUUGACAGCAAAAGGAAUCAUUAUACUGACCGAAACCCAACUCUUCGGGUAUAAUGCAGGCAGUUCUUAGUGACAUGGGUCUGGAAGUGGACAGAUCUGCAGAUUGCUCCACAUUCAGGACACGUGUAUGGAGAUUUAUGCUGAUGAAUUCUCUGGUGUGAUGCAAAACUGCACUGGUUAGGAAGCAGCAUCUGGCAGAUAUUGCAUGUCUUCUAAAUGAUAAACCAGAAUAGAUGAGACAAAAGGUUUGGUUCAGCUCUACAUAACGUCUUGAGUCAAACACUGCAAUAUAGCAAAUAAAGGUUAAAUGUCCUAAGUGGGAUGGGACCCAAUGUAGUAGGCAAGUACAAACACAAGCCCUGCUGACAGAGCAGGCAGGUGCUGAUAGCCAGGCUGACUGGCACUCUGGGCUACAAAGCUCCUUCCUACACCACUGACCACGGAAGAUACACGUGCUUACAGAAAUGGUACUCGGGUGCCUUCCCCGAUUACCUUAAUAGUGUAAGGGGCCUACGUACAACUCCAGAAUCAGAUUAUUGCUAUUGUCUCUUAUAGCUUGGGACUUGUGAACCUCACCAGUGACUUGCAAAGAUUCAAAAUCAAACCCAAGACUCCUUCAUGACACAUGUUUCUGAACAUGUAUUUGCACAUUUUUAGGAAUGUUCUAAGAGUCUGGCAUAUGUAGUGACGUGUACACUCUGCAAUAAUAUUGACCACAAAAAGAUUUCCAGAUCUGCAUUAUAAAUUAUUCACUAACAUAUGCAUGAAGAAAUCCUGAAAUGAACGCUCUGGGAGCCCUGUGGCCUGGUGUGUUUGAGCACAGUCUCCAUACAGUGUUCUCCAAUGUCCUGACGCAGCAAGAUGGCAAAAUGCAAACCAUUAAAUAUACAGCAUGUUAAAACAUGCCAUCCACUGGCAUUCCUGCCAGCCCCCAAUAGUGUUCAGCGUGGGGAGAUGUACUCCUCUCCUGCAAGGCUCUACCUGAGUUCAGCUGUCUACAGGGAUUUCAAACUGGCACCUGCUUAAGAGCCUUUGGGACGCAGCAAGGCUGUAUUGAGACACACAGAAAUACUCACUUUUAAAUGCCAAAUACUGAACUUGGCCUUAAUUGACCAAAGAGUGCCCAAAAGUGAGGGACUCACAGCCUCAGACUGACUAGAAUUGUUUUGGGGUGUUAAUUUUGUCUUCAGUUCAGAUAAUGGCAAAACCCUCUGACCAGCAAGAAGUGCAACAUUUACUGGGCUCAGUACCAUUCCCCAAAUCACUCUUUGGCUACUCCUGUAUUAACAAGCUGUAAUACAAUACUGGAGAAUCUGAAGCAUUAUUUGAUUACGUAAGAAAACUGAAAACCAGAACUUAUUCCAGUAACAGAAACAUUUGGAGGUUUCACAGUCCUUCCAAAGCCUUUGGCUUGCAGGACUUCUGAAGGAAACCGGGAUGUGAUGCCACAAAAGAGCCACACAACACUCCAGCCCCAGCUCAGUGAUCUUCCUGAUAUUGCAGCAAGCUGCCAGACUCAUUUGCUGACCCAACAUGCCAAUAAUGCUCUUAUAGUUAAGGCCCCUGCUCUGCUAUAUCAAUGAGUACAGAAAAUGUUUAAUUGUAACUGAGUACAGUAGAACAAGAAGCAUCUACUGUGAAAUUCUGACAUUCAGCACGUUUGCUUACCAUUUUAUUUUGGGCUUAAGGUGGCAUUAACUUCCAGUUCUCUCAUUCCAACCCACACCAAAAUAAAACACAGUUUGUGAAAAUCAUCACCUGCCUGCAUUUAAAGUCAAA